rnacentral:rRNA from 1 species
UAAUUGAAGAGUUUGAUCAUGGCUCAGAUUGAACGCUGGCGGCAGGCUUAACACAUGCAAGUCGAGCGGUAGCACAGGGGAGCUUGCUCCCCGGGUGACGAGCGGCGGACGGGUGAGUAAUGUCUGGGAAACUGCCUGAUGGAGGGGGAUAACUACUGGAAACGGUAGCUAAUACCGCAUAACGUCGNCAAGACCAAAGACG